rnacentral:misc_RNA from 1 species
AUAUAUCAACUUCUUCAGCUUUUGCUUGUUGAGUGUUGGAUGUGGGGGUUUUGCUGGCCUUUCUAAAGGUCAGCUCCCUUGAAAUGCAUUAGCGGAACAAUCUGUUGACUGUUCAUUGGUGUGAUAAUUAUCUGCGCUAUUGAACUGUGAGGCAAGUUCAGCUUCUAAUAGUCCAUUGACUUGGACAAUUUUUUUUUUCAUUUA